rnacentral:rRNA from 1 species
GACGAACGCUGGCGGCGUGCUUAACACAUGCAAGUCGAGCGGUAAGGCCCUUUCGGGGGUACACGAGCGGCGAACGGGUGAGUAACACGUGGGUGACCUGCCCUCAGCUCUGGGAUAAGCCCGGGAAACUGGGUCUAAUACCGGAUAUGACUCCAUGACGCAUGUUGUGGGGUGGAAAGCCUUGUGCGGCUGAGGAUGGGCCCGCGGCCUAUCAGCUUGUUGGUGGGGUGAGGCCUACCAAGGCGACGACGGGUAGCCGGCCUGAGAGGGCGACCGGCCACACUGGGACUGAGACACGGCCCAGACUCCUACGGGAGGCAGCAGUGGGGAAUCUUGCGCAAUGGGCGAAAGCCUGACGCAGCGACGCCGCGUGAGGG